UACAGAGGGUGCAAGCGUUAAUCGGAAUUACUGGGCGUAAAGCGCACGUAGGCGGAUUGUUAAGUCAGGGGUGAAAUCCUGGAGCUCAACUCCAGAACUGCCUUUGAUACUGGCAAUCUUGAGUCCGGAAGAGGCGAGUGGAAUUCCUGGUGUAGCGGUGGAAUGCGUAGAGAUCCGGAAGAACACCAGUGGCGAAGGCGGCCCGCUGGGCAGUAGCUGACGCUGAGGCGCGACAGCGUGGGAGCAACAGG
rnacentral:rRNA from 1 species